rnacentral:rRNA from 1 species
AUUGAACGCUGGCGGCAGGCCUAACACAUGCAAGUCGAGCGGAUGAAGGGAGCUUGCUCCUGGAUUCAGCGGCGGACGGGUGAGUAAUGCCUAGGAAUCUGCCUGGUAGUGGGGGAUAACGUCCGGAAACGGGCGCUAAUACCGCAUACGUCCUGAGGGAGAAAGUGGGGGAUCUUCGGACCUCACGCUAUCAGAUGAGCCUAGGUCGGAUUAGCUAGUAGGUGGGGUAAAGGCCUGCCAAGGCGACGAUCCGUAACUGGUCUGAGAGGAUGAUCAGUCACACUGGAACUGAGACACGGUCCAGACUCCUACGGGAGGCAGCAGUGGGGAAUAUUGGACAAUGGGCGAAAGCCUGAUCCAGCCAUGCCGCGUGUGUGAAGAAGGUCUUCGGAUUGUAAAGCACUUUAAGUUGGGAGGAAGGGCAGUAAGUUAAUACCUUGCUGUUUUGACGUUACCAACAGAAUAAGCACCGGCUAACUUCGUG